rnacentral:rRNA from 1 species
UACGUAGGGUGCGAGCGUUGUCCGGAAUUACUGGGCGUAAAGAGCUCGUAGGUGGUUUGUCGCGUUGUUCGUGAAAACCGGGGGCUUAACUCUCGGCGUGCGGGCGAUACGGGCAGACUGGAGUACUGCAGGGGAGACUGGAAUUCCUGGUGUAGCGGUGGAAUGCGCAGAUAUCAGGAGGAACACCGGUGGCGAAGGCGGGUCGCUGGGCAGUAACUGACGCUGAGGAGCGAAAGCGUGGGGAGCGAACAGG